rnacentral:misc_RNA from 1 species
UCACCGUUUACACGGGCAGUCUCCUUAGAGUCCCCAACAUUACUUGCUGGCAACUAAGAAUAGGGGUUGCGCUCGUUGCGGGACUUAACCCAACACCUCACGGCACGAGCUGACGACAACCAUGCAGCACCUGUGUUCGAGUUCCCGAAGGCACCAAUCCAUCUCUGGAAAGUUCUCGACAUGUCAAGGCCAGGUAAGGUUCUUCGCGUUGCAUCGAAUUAAACCACAUACUCCACCGCUUGUGCGGGCCCCCGUCAAUUCCUUUGAGUUUCAGUCUUGCGACCGUACUCCCCAGGCGGCGAACUUAACGCGUUAGCUUCGAUACUGCGUGCCAAAUUGCACCCAACAUCCAGUUCGCAUCGUUUAGGGCGUGGACUAC